rnacentral:tRNA from 1 species
GCCGGCGUGAUGGAAAUGGCAGACGUGCCGGACUCAAAAUCCGGUGGUGGCAACACCGUAUCGGUUCGACCCCGAUCGCCGGCACCA